UAUUUGGUAACAAUCUCUAACUUAUUUUGAUUCCUAUGGUAGAUUUAAUAGUUAGAUCUAGAAUUUCAGCAUCGAUGAGAUCGAUGUGAUUUUUAUUUUCAGAUCUAAAGUAUAUAUUUUUUAUAUCAAAGAUCUUGAUGUAGUAGAAUAAGAUUAGAUCUUAUACAUGUGAUUAAGUUUAAAUUAUUUAAUCUAUUAUUUUUACUGUAUAAAAUUUUUUAAUUGCAUAUACUGUACUACUGUAAAUUUCUUUCAUCAUUAAGAUCCAUGUUUAUGUCUCAGUCAAACUCCAGCAGCCUCACUAUA
rnacentral:lncRNA from 1 species